AUGUUCAUUGCACAGAAUGCAGUAAAAUCCCAAACAUAUGCUUGAAUGUUUGCUCUCUUGGCUACAAUAACCGUGAGGAACAACCCUGAGCUCUGCUGAUGGGACUGAGAAAACUUACAGCGACAUCUCAUAACUGGAAGUCAGAGGCACAGAGCAGCUUCUGAGCAUUGCCCUUCCCUGGCUCAGCGCCCAGUGCCAACAGAACACCUUGCAGGAUCCUCAGCAGCGCAGACACCACUCCAAGAUGCCGGCCUCGGCUUGGAACGGAGCGGUGUCAUGGCGGAGACGACGGCCUUUGUCUCGCAGGGUGUGAAAGCAUCCGUUGUGCUGGCUCCACUGCGGCAGAAUGAUGUCUAAAGGGGGGAAAAGUGCUGGAAGUCCGAGGUGUGCGGCGCUGGCGGGGGAGCCCCAUCCCCAUGGCGUGCGUCCGACGAAGGGCUCGCGGCGGAGGAGCCUGGUCUGUAAUCCUGGCACUUGUGCCUCCGGUCGCUGCCUGCCGUUUGCUCCUGGGGGUCUGGAUAAUCUCCCUUGGCUCUACGGCACUGUCUGGCCCGCGCUCAGGGCCCCCGUAACAUAUACCCGCUGCCGCGAUCGCAGGGAGCUGUGGCGUUGCCACUGAAUGGAUGGCACUGUGCCAACUCCGCUGCCAUCCGCCCUUGCAGCUCUUUUCCUCCCUCCUCCCUCCCGCUCUCCCCUCCUCCUCCUCCUCCCGUCGACUUGAUGUUAAUUAACACACGGGUUAAUUGAUUUUAAAAGCUGAAGAAUUACAGUUAAGUUUUCCCACAGGGCACGGCCGCCAGCCGGCUGGCACGGCAGCGCCUGGCGCGGAGCAGGGGGGCGGCGGCGCCCGCGCCGCACCGGCCCUGCCAGGGCUGGAGCCCGGCCCGGGGCGGCUGGCACCGCUGCCUCGUCCUGCCGCCACACCAGCGCUGCGUUCCGCUGUGAACAAUCGGCACAACCCCUCCCCUCGGCUCGGCCGUGCACCUGUCUCUCACAGCGAGCGCCGCUGGCGUUGCGGCAGGGCAGCCGGGCCCCAGCCCCGCGGCGCCUCACGGCUCCGGGCCCCAGCGCCCUGCCCGGCCGCCACGGUCGCGUCCUGCCUGCCACACCUGAUUCCUCUACUCGGUUCCGAUGUGUUGCUUGGGGUGAAGCAUCAAAACCAAGGGAAAGUUAGUUUGUUGUAGUGACGAGAGAAAUAACCCAUCUGGGCUUUGGUUUUUCACUCUCCCUUGCCCCAGUGUGCCGCCGGUGAGGGUGACAGUGUGGCAGGAGGAGGCGCAGCAGCGCUGGGAACUUGCUGCUUUCACCUUCCUGUGCUUUCAUUUUAUUUCAUUUUGUUUUUUAAAAGCAUGAAGCAAGUGAAGCGACAAGAGGAAUCCAUUAUGCAAAUCAGGUCACAUUUGCAUAAUGUCUCAUGACUGGAAUAUGCAAAUGAGUUGUAUAAUUUAUGAGUGCCAGUGUCUGUCUAAAAGUGUUUCCCAGAAUUUAUAAAAACUGCAGCGUGGAGAGGCAGCUGCUGGCUGCCCUGCCAGGAGGGUCCACACUCGCUUUGCGAAGUCCUCUUGAGUCUGGGAGUGCAAACGUCUGGGAAUGAGUACGGAGCCCCCCUUCCCACCCUGUCCUCUUGCUUUAUUUAUUUCCCAUUACUCCCUCCACCAAGCUCCCACCUGCUCCCCUCGAACUUCUCUGAGGAUGCAGGGCUAGGGCCAGGGCAGCGGGCUGGAUGGCCGGGCAGUCCCACAGGUGGCGAGCGGGGCUUGCUCGUGUCCCUGGGGGCUGUCACCAGCCGCAGAGCCCCUGCGCUCUCCAGGUGAGCGAGCUCACAGGCACGAUGUGCGUGGAGGAGCCGCUUGGAGCCCCUCACGACCCGCACAGUGGGAUUCCUGCGGGUUUGCUCUGCGCCAGGUCCAGCCCCUGCUCGGAUUUGAGCCCCGCCACCUUGGGGAGAGCUGCAGGCUCAGCGCAGGGCUGGCAUUGCCAGCGGAGGGACCCCGGUGUCCCGUCCACCGCCACAGCACUCGUGUCAGCACUGGGAAGGUCUCUGGGAUAUCCGGAUAUUCAGGACAGCUGGAUGCUCAAGAGCAGAGGAUCUAUCAACUGCAGACCAAGCAGAGGGAGAGGCAGGCAGACCUGGAGCAGAAAUGCAGCCAGAGCAGCAGCUCAGCCAGGACCUGGGGGCCAGCCACCAGCUACGGAAGGGAGCUUGGAACAGCUUGUUCCAGGAGAAGACAGUGCAAUUUGGUGAUUGAUUCCUGGAGUCUGGUUGGUGCAUCCAUGCUGGGGUAUAGAGGCCACAUAUCCCACGGUGCUUCCGGGAACACUCCAGCCUCAGCCACCCACAGCUCAUAGGCUCCGGAAGCAGAAAUGGGAUCUUGCAUUCCAUCAAUCUUAAAAAGACUAUCCACUUUUAACUCACAUGGAAAACACUCUUUGUAUUUGAUCAUCCUUGUUGGUCUUCUCUGAAACACUUCCAAAUCUUUUUCUUGAGAGAGGCAGACAGAGCUGCAUAUAGAAAUCACAGUGCAGCUUUCACUAUGAAUCUGUUCAUUGGCAGAACUGUGAUCUGCUCUCCAUUAUUUUCCUGAUAAUUGUUAACAGUCAGUUUGCCUUUUGGGCUGUUCCUGGGCACCAAACAAAUAUUUCCACAGAUCUAUCGCUCCAUCUUCAUCCGAUUUUAUUCUAGCACAGCCCCAAGCCUAAUUCCUGAGGAGGAACAGAGCUACAGCAGCUGAGACUGCAGUGAGAUCUUGUGAGAAAGAUGGUGCAAAUGCUCCAGAUCUUCAGCAAGAUUAGGACCACCUGGCUGUGUCAUACCUUGGAGACUGGGGACAGCUGCUAAACAGCUGAAAAAAAGAAGAAAUUAUAUAAGGUCAGCAGACCGGGCCUCCUCCAGACAGAUCUACCCUCGAGUGUUUGCCCAGCUGAGGGGCUGAGUAAUGCUGUGGAAUGCUGAUGUAGCCAGAUGAAUCAGUGCUGGCGUGAACUCCUAUCCAAGAGCACAAAUAGCAUCAUGUUCUUGUGAUCCUUUGCAUUUCCUUCCUGCAGAUUCCCAGGUGAGCAGGAAGGGAUUGGGCUGCCUGACCUCUGGUACCUACAGUCAUGGAAAAUCUCCCCGUUACUCUGAAAUCAGUAACUUGUCUGACUAAGAUAGCUUCAGACAGGCGUUUGGCUGGGCUUGAAGACAUCAAGAGAUGGCAAAUGCACGACAUCCUCCCCUGGCAGUCAGUCCUUUCACAUCACUCCUACUGUUUUGGGUUUUUUCCUUCUCUCAUGACUGCUAUGCCAACAGGACUAAUGAAGCUAAUGAAGCCUUCUAUGCAGCAGCAAUAUGGUCUCAACUCUGU